AAUCAACGCUGGCGGCGUGCCUAACACAUGCAAGUCGAACGCGAAAGCCCCUUCGGGGGUAAGUAGAGUGGCGUCCGGGUGAGUAACACGUAGGUAAUCUACCUUCGGGUGGGGAAUAACCAGUCGAAAGAUUGGCUAAUACCGCAUAAUGCAGCGGCACCUAAUGGUGAUUAGUUGUUAAAGCGGGGGAUCGUAAGACCUCGCGCCUGAAGAGGAGCCUGCGGCAGAUUAGCUAGUUGGGAGGUAAUGGCUCACCAAGGCUUCGAUCUGUAGCUGGUCUGAGAGGACGGCCAGCCACACUGGCACUGACACACGGGCCAGACUCCUACGGGAGGCAGCAGUGGGGAAUUUUGGGCAAUGGGCGAAAGCCUGACCCAGCAACGCCGCGUGAGGGAGG
rnacentral:rRNA from 1 species